rnacentral:rRNA from 1 species
GGCGGCGCGCCUAACACAUGCAAGUCGAACGGAGUUCUUUGAUGAAGUUUUCGGAUGGAUUCACUUGAACUUAGUGGCGGACGGGUGAGUAACACGUGAGCAACCUGCCUAUCAGAGGGGGAUAACGAUUGGAAACGAUCGCUAAUACCGCAUAACGCAGCGAGGAGGCAUCUUCAUGCUGCCAAAGAUUUAUCGCUGAUAGAUGGGCUCGCGUCCGAUUAGAUAGUUGGUGAGGUAACGGCCCACCAAGUCGACGAUCGGUAGCCGGACUGAGAGGUCGAACGGCCACAUUGGGACUGAGACACGGCCCAGACUCCUACGGGAGGCAGCAGUGGGGGAUAUUGCACAAUGGGGGAAACCCUGAUGCAGCGACGCCGCGUGAGGGAAGACGGUCCUCUGGAUUGUAAACCUCUGUCUUCGGGGACGAAACGAGACGGUACCCGAGGAGGAAGCCACGGCUAACUACGUG